UUUCUUUUUUCCAACCUUCCGCCUCCCUUAGCUUCCAAAGGAGAAGCAGAGGGUGGUGCGGCCGGAUGGAAGGCACGGUCAGGAUCGAUGGGGUGGGCGAUCUGGAGGGAGACGGCGGUGAUUGAGAAAUCGAUAGAGGUGCAGAGGUGGGUGUCAGAGAAACCAGAGGCGGCGAGGAGGCCGAAGGCGAGGAUGGUGUGGAGG
rnacentral:lncRNA from 1 species